AACGCGAAAGGGGGGCAACCCCCAAGUAGAGUGGCGAACGGGUGAUUACUACAUCGGAACGUGCCCAGUAGUGGGGGACAACCUCGAGAAAUCGAGGCUAAUACCGCAUACGACCCACGGGUGAAAGCGGGGGACCGCAAGGCCUCGCGCUAUUGGAGCGGCCGAUGUCCGAUUAGCUAGUUGGUGGGGUAAGAGCCCACCAAGGCGACGAUCGGUAGCUGGUCUGAGAGGACGACCAGCCACACUGGGACUGAGACACGGCCCAGACUCCUACGGGAGGCAGCAGUGGGGAAUUUUGGACAAUGGGGGCAACCCUGAUCCAGCCAUGCCGCGUGCGGGAAGAAGGCCUUCGGGUUGUAAACCGCUUUCGGCCGGAACGAAAUCGCAUCCGUGAAUAUCGGGUGUGGAUGACGGUACCGGAAGAAGAAGCACCGGCUAACUACGUGCCAGCAGCCGCGGUAAUACGUAGGGUGCGAGCGUUAAUUGGAAUUACUGGGCGUAAAGCGUGCGCAGGCGGUUCGCUAAGACAGAUGUGAAAGCCCCGGGCUCAACCUGGGAACUGCGUUUGUGACUGGCGGGCUGGAGU
rnacentral:rRNA from 1 species